GGAUGAAGGGGAUCCUGCGUGCUGUAUUCCAGCAGGUUCUUCCCAAAGACGCCAUGGAUGCUGACGGACAGCAUCUUGAAACCUCGCUCAAAGAAUACCUGAAGGACAAGAGGUUAGUGCACAUUUAACAUUUUUCUUUUUUUUUUGAACUACUUUCAUAUGCAAAAUUUAACUUUUAAUUGGACUUUUGCUCCUCAUUCAUCAAUUUGACUGUCGUGUGUAUAUAUUGAUCAGGGUUCACUGUUUUGGAAUCCCAAAAAAAAAAUCAGGGAAAGGAAAUUUCAGACAAAAAAAUAGUUUUGAAAACUUCUUUGCUAAAUUCAAACAAAUUCUGAAAACAGGCACUCACCGGUGGACACAAAUAUUUGAAUCAAGAUUAUGAACCCUGUUACCCUGAUACUGAUCAGCAGAAUUUAUGUUUUACCACUUAAUUUUGCUACUCAUUUCUCAAUUUGGUUAUUAGGUAUUUAAUUAUCAUCGAUGACAUCGGGAUGGAUCAAUGGAACAUCAUAAGAUCGACCUUUGAAGACAAUGGUACAAGCAGCAGGAUAAUACUGACCACAACCAUCCAGUCUGUGGCAAAUAUGUGCAGCCAUGGCAAUGGCUAUGUGUAUCAAAUGAACACACUUGGUGAAGAAGACUCUAAGGAACUCGCUUUUCCAGGGUUUAGAUCACCUGAGUUGGAGCAAGGUUCAGCAUCAUUAUUGGGGAAAUGUGAUGGUCUUCCUCUUGCUCUGGUCAGUGUCUCCGAUUAUCUGAAGAGCUCAAAUGAGCCCACAGGAGAGCUGUGCGCAAAGCUGUGCCGCAACCUUGGUUCUCAUCUGAAAGAGCAGGAUGGCCAUUACAGCUUUUCAGAACUCAGAAAGGUGCUCCUUGACAACUAUGACAGUUUUUCUGGCUAUCCUUUGAGCUGCUUGCUGUAUCUUGGAAUAUUUCCAAACAAUCGACCACUCAAGAAGAAAGUUGUAAUCAGGCGGUGGUUAGCCGAAGGAUAUGCACGAACCGACUCUCUUCGUAGCGAAGAGGAUAUUGCUGAUGAGAAUUUCAGUAAGCUUAUUGACCGGAAUAUCAUUCAGCCUGUUGACACAAGAAACAAUUCUGAAGUGAAAACCUGCAAAACUCAUGGAAUUAUGCACGAGUUUUUGCUGAACAAGUCCUUGUCACAGAUAUUCAUCGCGAAAUCGUCUCGUGAUCAUCCAAGACUAGGUGUCAAUACUAAUGCGUGCCACCUUUCUUUUCAUUCUGGUGAACUGACAGAGUGUGUGGCAUCUGAUGAAGAGUUAUCUCGUGUCCGGUCUCUGACAGUCUUUGGGCAUGCAGGUGAUGCAAUUUGUUAUGUUCGCAGGUGCAAACUGAUACGAGUCUUGGAUCUACAGGAAUGCAGUGAUUUGGAUGACGAUCAUCUGAAAUACAUAUGCAAAUUAUGGCAUCUGAAAUACCUGAGCUUUGGGAGCAAUAUCAGUGAGCUUCCAAGGAGCAUUGAUGGACUGCAUUGUUUAGAGACACUGGAUUUAAGGAGGACCCAGAUAAAGUUUUUGCCCAUUGAAGCAAUCAUGCUGCCCCACUUAGCUCACCUGUUUGGAAAGUUUAUGCUUCAUGAAGAUGAUGUGAAGAGUGUGAACAAGAUGAGUAAACUACAAAAAUUCUUUUCUUCCAAAAAGAGCAAUCUGCAAACUUUAGCAGGAUUUAUCACUGACGAAAGCAAAGGUUUUCUGCAACAUAUUGGUCAUAUGAACAAGCUGAGGAAGGUUAAGAUAUGGUUCAAACAUGUCGAAGGCAGCAACAAUUACAUCGCUGAUCUUUCACGGGCCAUUCAGGAAUUCACCAAGGCUCCCAUUGACAGGGAUACUGACCGUUCUCUCUCACUUGAUUCUGAAGAAUGCCCUGAAAAUUUCCUGAGUUCACUUGAUUUGGAGACAUGCUCUGAAGGUUCCAAAUAUGCUCUGAGGUCGCUAAAGUUAAAUGGCGAACUUCACAAGUUGCCUCCAUUUGUUAAUUUGUUGUCAGGUCUCACUGAGCUUUGCAUUUCAUCACCUAUGCUGACACAGGUUCAUCUAUCAACGCUGAUCAAUCUGAACAGACUGCUCUACCUCAAACUGGUUGCAUAUAAGCUCGAGAAUUUCGAAAUAAAACAUGGAGCAUUCCCGAGCUUGCGACGCCUGUGCUUUGUAGUGAAAAGUGUCACUUCAGCUCUGCCCACAAUCAAGCAUGGAGCUCUCCCAAAUAUCAUAUCACUUCAGCUGCUCUGUCAAGGUCCAGUUGGUCUUUCUGGCAUCGAGAUCAGACACAUGAAACAUCUCAAGGAAAUCACAAUUAACUCUGGAGUGGUUGUACAAUGGGAACAGGCAGCAAAGAACCACCCAAAUAGGCCUAAAGUUUUGUUCCUCAGAAAGGUUGAUCCAAUGGAAAGCGAGGAACGGGGAAGACCUUGUGCCAUAAGGGAGCAGAUGAAAAUUACUGUAGCUCAACCAACUAGUUCAGGUGAUGGACUGAACUCUAGCCUCAAUAAGAUCAGACUUUCAGAGCCUCCUUCUUCACGACUUGAGAUGCCUGUUCGUCAUAUGGUGGAUGGCCACUGAGGCAGCACCCCAGACUUCCUUGGCAAACCUCUAGCACAAUAUACCACUGCAGCUGGCAGACUUCAAUGAAGACCAUCCAAAUUUUGCUAAAAAAACUUGGAAAUCUAGAUUGCUGUUCAGUUAAAUGGUCCAGAUUUCUGUAUUUCCGUACUUGUCAUGUUAUGUGGUUAAGGUUGUAAAUUGGCCCGGUUUUUUGUAAGUUCAGGGUGUUAAAUAACCAUAUUUUAAAUUCUUAAAAUACAAUGAUCUGUGAUUGGAGGUGUGCAAUUGACCUCUUGCAUAACUAAAUCGAUCCUGUUUGUAAAAAGUACUUGGUAUAUUUUGGAAAUACCAAAAUUAUGUAUCAAGUGCCGUAUGUGAAAUUUAUUAUUUUCGAUGAAAUAAACAAAAUAAAAAAGUUCAAGUAAACUAAAGGACUAGUACUACUUCCUAGUUCUUACGAGGAACGUAAAACACCAAUGACAUAACCAGGCUGUUUAAUCAGUCAAAAUUUUUUGAAAAUUUUUAAUCAGUCAAAAUAGAGUUUCCAAGUCAUAAAUUCUGACAGAACAUUUGUUCUCACCAUGAUGCAACAAAAUCAACAGGAGCACACCGCUAAACACAUUAUUCAGAUUCUGCGAGGAGGACUCACCGUCCGUGGCUCCACCGAAUCAGGCGGCGCGAUGCAGACGAAGGAGGAGGGUUCCCGGCCCGCCACCGUCGGCCCCCGACGAGGACCAAGUCGGACGGACGGAGGAAGAACGGACGGCGGAGAAGACGGGACUCCCCCUCGUGCUCGUCCUCGCACCGAAUUCCCUGUUGCUGCGGGAUUCCAUGGCCUCCCGCUCCAGCGCCACGCCGACGCGCCCGUGCGCGACGGCGGCCGCUCUUCCUCUCCCUCCCCCUCGCCGGCGCCUGGAACCGCAGUGCUGUUGCUCAAUGGGCCACAUCCUACUUAACUCGGCCCGUUUUGAUCGGGUCGCAGCCAUCC
rnacentral:lncRNA from 1 species